rnacentral:rRNA from 1 species
GAUGAACGCUGGCGGCGUGCCUAACACAUGCAAGUCGAGCGGACAGACCCUGCUUUUGUGGGUUUCUCGAGUGGCGCACGGGUGAGUGACACGCGAGUAACCUCUACUUAUCUUUCUGGUAUCUUCACGAAACACCGGAUCAUACCGCAUAGAAUCUCCUGCUGCGUGGUGGGCGAUGGAAAGUGUCGGCGGUUGGGGAUGGUAUAGCGGGUUAUCCGCUUGUUGGUGUGGUAGGGGCUUACCAAGGCUUUGAAGGGUAGCCGGCCUGGGAGGUGUACCGGCCACAAUGCGACUGAGGUAGGGCCCAGUCUGCUACGGGAGGCAGCAGGGGGGAAUAUUGCACAAUGGGCCGAAGCCUGAUGCAGCAACGCCGCGUGCGGGAUGACGGCCUUCGGGUUGUAAACCGCUUUCGCCUGUGAUGAAGCGUGAGUGACGGUAAUGGGUAAAGAAGCACCGGCUAACUACGUG